rnacentral:lncRNA from 1 species
CUUUAAAAUUAGUUUUCUAUGUAAUUUUGACUUCAAAGAACUAUGUUGGAUAAGAUAGUUUUUACCAGAAGCUAAUUUACUGAGUGGAGUCCUCCUAUCUGCAAUAUUCUACUUUCUUAAAUACCCAGAUGAUUCUUUAAGCAUCGUUUACAUAUCAGUUUGGGGGUCAGGUACUAGUUUUCCUUGUCAUAUUUUGACCAGUUUCAUCAGAGACUUAGAAUCUUUCAGCAGCAAUCAUAGAAACUUAUGAGCUGUCUAUGAAGAUGGGCCUUUUAAAUUGUCCCUUCAAGAUAAAGGAAAAACUGUGAAACCACUCCAUAAAUACUGCCCAUUCAGAAACAUCGCCAUGUCAAUUUUACAUGAUUGAUGCUGUCAACUUUUUUAGAAGUUAUUACUGAGAUUAUUUUAAAUUAAUGUGCUUCUAAAUUUCCAAGGAUAUCAGUUAUAGAAGAAAUGGAAAUUCCUUAAGAUUUCUGUUUACCUUUCACUAUCUUGUCACUUGUUCUUUUUGCCAUAUAGAUAGGUUUUCCUAUUACAAGUUUCUGAAGUAUACCCUAUUUGGGAUAAUAUACUAUCUUACAAUUUGUUUUAUAUCAUACAUUGGGAUCACAUGUGUAAAUUUGCAUUCUUGCUAACAACAGAUAUUGUCUUUAAAGUUAUUCUGUCUGUUGGAUCAUAGAUGUUAAACUACAGGGCUAUAUCAUGAUAGAAUCAGAAGUGUGAUUUCACACUAAAAAGAACAGUACAUACGUAUUUUAACUUUUGUAUAUUUUUCAUAAGAAUUUAAAUUUUUAAGAAUUAGAAGGAAUUAGUUUCACUGUUUAACCCAGGAUAAAAAUCCUAAACUGUACUAGUAAAUUUUAUUACUUUAUCAAGCAAAAAGGAAUUUGGCAACCUAAAGCUUCCAAGAUUAUAUAACUUUCAUUUAUCAUUAAGUAGAUAUAAAUAUUACUACUGCACACAUCAGCUAAAGCUUCCAGGUGGCCCCAAGUUAUAACCUUUAUUAGCUAAACAUGCUAAUAAAGGCUUUAAAGGCCCAGGAAACUUCUAUUUUGCUGUUUAUUUGUUUUAAACAGAGCUGUCUUAAUUUAUUUGAUUUUAUUAAGCUAAGUCCCAUUACAGGCAGUUUCACUAGGUUUCCAUUUAUUUUUGUUUCUUAAAAAUGGCUUAUUUUUCAGUGGCCUUCUAAUUUGACAAUAUCAACAGUAUUUUUAAACCUCCUUAUUUGGAUAUUCUAAGUUUUGCAGCAAAAAAAAAAAACUAAAUACAAAAAAAUCUAGUGCUUUGUAAUGGUACUUUUUGUUUGCUAGAGGAUUACAUUCAUAUUAAGGAUGUAAUUAACAAGUGUUUUAGAAAGUUGUCACUUAUAUUUCUUAUGUAUUUUUUAAU